rnacentral:rRNA from 1 species
GACGAACGCUGGCGGCGUGCUUAACACAUGCAAGUCGAACGGAAAGGCCCUGCUUUUGUGGGGUGCUCGAGUGGCGAACGGGUGAGUAACACGUGAGUAACCUGCCCUUGACUUUGGGAUAACUUCAGGAAACUGGGGCUAAUACCGGAUAGGAGCUCCUGCUGCAUGGUGGGGGUUGGAAAGUUUCGGCGGUUGGGGAUGGACUCGCGGCUUAUCAGCUUGUUGGUGGGGUAGUGGCUUACCAAGGCUUUGACGGGUAGCCGGCCUGAGAGGGUGACCGGCCACAUUGGGACUGAGAUACGGCCCAGACGCCUACGGGAGGCAGCAGUGGGGAAUAUUGCACAAUGGGCAGAAGCCUGAUGCAGCAACGCCGCGUGCGGGAUGACGGCCUUCGGGUUGUAAACCGCUUUCGCCUGUGACGAAGCGUGAGUGACGGUAACGGGUAAAGAAGCACCGGCUAACUACGUG